UUAAAUAUUUUAUAGUACUCAGACAUCACUAAACACAGAGUUUUGGGCCUCUGGCAGGCGCUAAUCAGCCGAAGCCGACGCCCGAAGGCGGCCUGCCAAAGCAACAAAGGUAGGUAGACACGGUUUUGGGUAUUGAACCCAUUUAAAUCUUGCGACAAAAACGGGGCGUUAUUAAUGAUCCUUCCGCAGGUUCACCUACGGAAA
rnacentral:misc_RNA from 1 species